rnacentral:rRNA from 1 species
CACGCAGGCGGUCAACCAAGUUCGGAGUGACAGUUUCCGGCUUAACUGGGAAAGGUCUUCGAAAACUGGUGGACUUGAGAGCUUGAGGGGGAGACGGAAUUCCGGGUGGAGCGGUGAAAUGCGUAGAGAUCCGGAGGAACACCGAAGGCGAAGGCAGUCUCCUGGCAAGUUUCUGACGCUCAGGUGCGAAAGCUAGGGGAGCGAACAGGAUUAGAUACCCUGGUAGUCCUAGCCGUAAACGAUGACCACUAGGCGUGGGAGGUAUCGACCCCUUCCGUGCCGCAGCUUACGCAAUAAGUGGUCCGCCUGGGGAGUACGGUCGCAAGAUUAAA